AGGGUUCGAUUCUGGCUCAGGAUGAACGCUAGCUACAGGCUUAACACAUGCAAGUCGAGCGGAACACUUCGGGUGUUAGCGGCAGACGGGUGAGUAACACGUAUCCAACCUUUCCCUUACUCGGGUAUAGCCUCGGGAAACUGAGAGUAAUCCCCGAUGUGGUGCACGGAAAGCAUUUUUUGCGCACGAAAGAUUAAUCGGUAAGGGGUGGGGAUGCGUUCCAUUAGGUAGUAGGCGGGGUAACGGCCCACCUAACCGAUGAUGGAUAGGGGUUCUGAGAGGAAGGUCCCCCACAUUGGAACUGCGACACGGUCCAAACUCCUACGGGAGGCAGCAGUGAGGAAUAUUGGUCAAUGGGCGAGAGCCUGAACCAGCCAAGUAGCGUGCAGGAUGACGGCCCUAUGGGUUGUAAACUGCUUUUGUGCGGGAAUAACGGUCGACACGUGUGUUGAUGUGCAUGUACCGUACGAAUAAGGAUCGGCUAACUCCGUGCCAGCAGCGGC
rnacentral:rRNA from 1 species